CCUACGGGCGGCAGCAGUGGGGAAUAUUGGACAAUGGGGGGAACCCUGAUCCAGCCAUGCCGCGUGUGUGAAGAAGGCCCUCGGGUUGUAAAGCACUUUCAGUGAGGAAGAACGCCUGGUGGUUAAUACCCAUCAGGAAAGACAUCACUCACAGAAGAAGCACCGGCUAACUCCGUGCCAGCAGCCGCGGUAAUACGGAGGGUGCGAGCGUUAAUCGGAAUUACUGGGCGUAAAGCGCGCGUAGGUGGCUUGAUAAGCCGGUUGUGAAAGCCCCGGGCUCAACCUGGGAACGGCAUCCGGAACUGUCGAGCUAGAGUGCAGGAGAGGAAGGUAGAAUUCCCGGUGUAGCGGUGAAAUGCGUAGAGAUCGGGAGGAAUACCAGUGGCGAAGGCGGCCUUCUGGACUGACACUGACACUGAGGUGCGAAAGCGUGGGUAGCAAACAGGAUUAGAUACCCGAGUAGUC
rnacentral:rRNA from 1 species